GAAAGGCGUAGGUGAUGGACAACAGGUUGAUAUUCCUGUACUACCGAUAACCGUUUGAGAGAAGGGAUGACACAGUAGGAUAAGCUAAGCACACUGUUGGUUAUGUGUGCCCAAGCAUUGAGGCAGUCAAAGUAGGCAAAUCCGCUUUGAUAAUGCUGGGAUGUGAUGGGGAGCGAAAUUUAGUAGCGAAGUAGCUGAUUUCACACUGUCAAGAAAAGUCUCUAUCGAGGUUAAAGGUACCCGUACCGCAAACCGACACAGGUGGGUGAGGAGAGUAUCCUAAGGCCAGCGAGAGAACUGUUGUUAAGGAACUCGGCAAAAUGACCCCGUAACUUAGGGAUAAGGGGUGCCACCAUCAGGUGGCCGCAGAGAAUAGGCCCAAGCGACUGUUUACCAAAAACAUAGGUUUCUGCUAAGUCGCAAGACGAUGUAUAGGAGCUGACGCCUGCCCGGUGCUGGAAGGUUAAGGGGAUCUGUUAGAGCAAUCGAAGCAGUGAACUUAAGCCCCAGUAAACGGCGGCCGUAACUAUAACGGUCCUAAGGUAGCGAAAUUCCUUGUCGGGUAAGUUCCGACCCGCACGAAAGGCGUAACGAUUUGGGCACUGUCUCAACAACAGACUCGGUGAAAUUGUAAUUCCGGUGAAGAUGCCGGAUACCUGCGACAGGACGGAAAGACCCCAUGGAGCUUUACUGUAGCUUGACAUUGGGUCUUGGUACUACAUGUACAGGAUAGGUGGGAGGCUUUGAAACCAGGACGCCAGUUUUGGCGGAGCCAUCCUUGGGAUACCACCCUUGUAGUACUGGGACUCUAACCAUAGGCCAUGAAUCUGGUCUUGGGACACUGUCAGGUGGGCAGUUUGACUGGGGCGGUCGCCUCCCAAAAGGUAACGGAGGCGCUCAAAGGUUCUCUCAGUACGGUCGGAAAUCGUACGUAGAGUGUAAAGGCAAAAGAGAGCUUGAUUGCAAGACAUACAGGUCGAGCAAGGAUGAAAAUCGGACUUAGUGAUCCGGUGGUUCUGCGUGGAAGGGCCAUCGCUCAACGGAUAAAAGCUACCCUGGGGAUAACAGGCUUAUCUCCCCCAAGAGUCCACAUCGACGGGGAGGUUUGGCACCUCGAUGUCGGCUCAUCACAUCCUGGGGCUGUAGUAGGUCCCAAGGGUUGGGCUGUUCGCCCAUUAAAGUGGUACGCGAGCUGGGUUCAGAACGUCGUGAGACAGUUCGGUCCCUAUCCGUCGCAGGCGUAGGAAAUUUGAGAAGACCUGUCCUUAGUACGAGAGGACCGGGAUGGACGUACCUCUGGUGUACCAGUUGUCCUGCCAAGGGCAUGGCUGGGUAGCUAUGUACGGAAUGGAUAAGCGCUGAAAGCAUCUAAGCGCGAAGCCAACUUCAAGAUAAGAUUUCCCACCGCAAGGGUAAGACCCCAGAAAGACUAUCUGGUUGAUAGGUCGAAGGUGUAAGUGCAGCAAUGUAUUUAGCUUAUCGAUACUAAUAGGUCGAGGACUUGACCAA
rnacentral:rRNA from 1 species